GCUCGAAUGGUGGAAUGGUAGACACGAGGGACUUAAAAUCCCUUGGCUUCGCGGCCGUGCGGGUUCGAGUCCCGCUUCGAGCA
rnacentral:tRNA from 2 species